GGUUAAGUGACUAAGCGUACACGGUGGAUGCCUUGGCAGUCAGAGGCGAUGAAAGACGUAGUAACUUGCGAUAAGCCCAGAUUAGGUAGUAACAACCAUUUGAGUCUGGGAUUUCUGAAUGGGGAAACCCACGUGCAUAAGCACGUAUCCUUACCUGAAUACAUAGGGUAAAGAGGCGAACCGGGGGAACUGAAACAUCUAAGUACCCCGAGGAAAAGAAAUCAACCGAGAUUCCGAAAGUAGCGGCGAGCGAAAUUGGAUUAGCCCUUAAGCUUUACACGCGUUAGACGAACGGUCUGGAAAGUCCGACGAUACAGGGUGAUAGUCCCGUAGUUGACGACGUGUGUUCAGUGAAAUCGAGUAGGGCGGGAC
rnacentral:rRNA from 1 species